rnacentral:rRNA from 1 species
UACGGGGGGAGCAAGCGUUGUUCGGAUUUACUGGGCGUAAAGGGCGGGUAGGCGGCCACCGCAAGUCAGUUGUGAAAUCUCCGGGCUUAACCCGGAAAGGUCAACUGAUACUGCGGGGCUAGAGUGCAGAAGGGGCAACUGGAAUUCUCGGUGUAGCGGUGAAAUGCGUAGAUAUCGAGAGGAACACCUGCGGCGAAGGCGGGUUGCUGGGCUGAUACUGACGCUGAGGCGCGAAAGCCAGGGGAGCGAACGGG